AGCACUGUUUCGGCUAGGGGGCCAUCCCGGCUUACCAACCCGAUGCAAACUGCGAAUACCGGAGAAUGUUAUCACGGGAGACACACGGCGGGUGCUAACGUCCGUCGUGAAGAGGGAAACAACCCAGACCGCCAGCUAAGGUCCCAAAGUCAUGGUUAAGUGGGAAACGAUGUGGGAAGGCCCAGACAGCCAGGAUGUUGGCUUAGAAGCAGCCAUCAUUUAAAGAAAGCGUAAUAGCUCACUGGUCGAGUCGGCCUGCGCGGAAGAUGUAACGGGGCUAAACCAUGCACCGAAGCUGCGGCAGCGAACGUAUCACUUAAAACGAUUCAGAAGCUUACGAUUGACGGAGCGAAGCGACGUCAAAGCGUAUACAAAGUCGAGUCGGUUUAAGGAUACGUUCGUUGGGUAGGGGAGCGUUCUGUAAGCCGUUGAAGGUGUCCUGUGAGGGGUGCUGGAGGUAUCAGAAGUGCGAAUGCUGACAUAAGUAACGAUAAAGCGGGUGAAAAGCCCGCUCGCCGGAAGACCAAGGGUUCCUGUCCAACGUUAAUCGGGGCAGGGUGAGUCGACCCCUAAGGCGAGGCCGAAAGGCGUAGUCGAUGGGAAACGGGUUAAUAUUCCCGUACUUGGUGUUACUGCGAAGGGGGGACGGAGAAGGCUAUGUUGGCCGGGCGACGGUUGUCCCGGUUUAAGCGUGUAGGUGUGUGUUCCAGGUAAAUCCGGUUCACUUUAACACUGAGGCGUGAUGACGAGGCACCACGGUGCUGAAGCAACAAAUGCCCUGCUUCCAGGAAAAGCCUCUAAGCAUCAGGUAACAUCAAAUCGUACCCCAAACCGACACAGGUGGUCAGGUAGAGAAUACCAAGGCGCUUGAGAGAACUCGGGUGAAGGAACUAGGCAAAAUGGUGCCGUAACUUCGGGAGAAGGCACGCUGACACGUAGGUGAAGUGAUUUACUCAUGGAGCUGAAGUCAGUCGAAGAUACCAGCUGGCUGCAACUGUUUAUUAAAAACACAGCACUGUGCAAACACGAAAGUGGACGUAUACGGUGUGACGCCUGCCCGGUGCCGGAAGGUUAAUUGAUGGGGUCAGCGCAAGCGAAGCUCCUGAUCGAAGCCCCGGUAAACGGCGGCCGUAACUAUAACGGUCCUAAGGUAGCGAAAUUCCUUGUCGGGUAAGUUCCGACCUGCACGAAUGGCGUAAUGAUGGCCAGGCUGUCUCCACCCGAGACUCAGUGAAAUUGAACUCGCUGUGAAGAUGCAGUGUACCCGCGGCAAGACGGAAAGACCCCGUGAACCUUUACUAUAGCUUGACACUGAACAUUGAGCCUUGAUGUGUAGGAUAGGUGGGAGGCUUUGAAGCGUGGACGCCAGUCUGCGUGGAGCCGACCUUGAAAUACCACCCUUUAAUGUUUGAUGUUCUAACGUGGACCCGUAAUCCGGGUUGCGGACAGUGUCUGGUGGGUAGUUUGACUGGGGCGGUCUCCUCCUAAAGAGUAACGGAGGAGCACGAAGGUUGGCUAAUCCUGGUCGGACAUCAGGAGGUUAGUGCAAUGGCAUAAGCCAGCUUGACUGCGAGCGUGACGGCGCGAGCAGGUGCGAAAGCAGGUCAUAGUGAUCCGGUGGUUCUGAAUGGAAGGGCCAUCGCUCAACGGAUAAAAGGUACUCCGGGGAUAACAGGCUGAUACCGCCCAAGAGUUCAUAUCGACGGCGGUGUUUGGCACCUCGAUGUCGGCUCAUCACAUCCUGGGGCUGAAGUAGGUCCCAAGGGUAUGGCUGUUCGCCAUUUAAAGUGGUACGCGAGCUGGGUUUAGAACGUCGUGAGACAGUUCGGUCCCUAUCUGCCGUGGGCGCUGGAAGACUGAGGGGGGCUGCUCCUAGUACGAGAGGACCGGAGUGGACGCAUCACUGGUGUUCGGGUUGUCAUGCCAAUGGCACUGCCCGGUAGCUAAAUGCGGAAAAGAUAAGUGCUGAAAGCAUCUAAGCACGAAACUUGCCCCGAGAUGAGUCUUCCCUGAGACCUUGAGUCUCCUGAAGGAACGUUAAAGACGAUGACGUUGAUAGGCCGGGUGUGUAAGCGCAGCGAUGCGUUGAGCUAACCGGUACUAAUGAACCGUGAGGCUUAACCUUACAACGCCGAAG
rnacentral:rRNA from 1 species